rnacentral:rRNA from 1 species
ACAAUGGAGAGUUUGAUCCUGGCUCAGGAUGAACGCUAGCGGGAGGCCUAACACAUGCAAGCCGAGCGGUAUUUGUUCUUCGGAACAGAGAGAGCGGCGUACGGGUGCGGAACACGUGUGCAACCUGCCUUUAUCAGGGAGAUAGCCUUUCGAAAGGAAGAUUAAUAUCCCAUAAUAUAUUAAGUGGCAUCACUUGAUAUUGAAAGCUCCGGCGGAUAAAGAUGGGCACGCGCAAGAUUAGAUAGUUGGUAGGGUAACGGCCUACCAAGUCAGUGAUCUUUAGGGGGCCUGAGAGGGUGAUCCCCCACACUGGUACUGAGACACGGACCAGACUCCUACGGGAGGCAGCAGUGAGGAAUAUUGGACAAUGGGUGAGAGCCUGAUCCAGCCAUCCCGCGUGAAGGACGACGGCCCUAUGGGUUGUAAACUUCUUUUGUAUAGGGAUAAACCUUUCCACGUGUGGAAAGCUGAAGGUACUAUACGAAUAAGCACCGGCUAACUCCGUGCCAGCAGCCGCGGUAAUACGGAGGGUGCAAGCGUUAUCCGGAUUUAUUGGGUUUAAAGGGUCCGUAGGCGGAUCUGUAAGUCAGUGGUGAAAUCUCACAGCUUAACUGUGAAACUGCCAUUGAUACUGCAGGUCUUGAGUAAAGUAGAAGUGGCUGGAAUAAGUAGUGUAGCGGUGAAAUGCAUAGAUAUUACUUAGAACACCAAUUGCGAAGGCAGGUCACUAUGUUUUAACUGACGCUGAUGGACGAAAGCGUGGGGAGCGAACAGGAUUAGAUACCCUGGUAGUCCACGCCGUAAACGAUGCUAACUCGUUUUUGGGGCUUCGGCUUCAGAGACUAAGCGAAAGUGAUAAGUUAGCCACCUGGGGAGUACGUUCGCAAGAAUGAAACUCAAAGGAAUUGACGGGGGCCCGCACAAGCGGUGGAUUAUGUGGUUUAAUUCGAUGAUACGCGAGGAACCUUACCAAGGCUUAAAUGGGAAUUGAUCGGUUUAGAAAUAGACCUUCCUUCGGGCAAUUUUCAAGGUGCUGCAUGGUUGUCGUCAGCUCGUGCCGUGAGGUGUUAGGUUAAGUCCUGCAACGAGCGCAACCCCUGUCACUAGUUGCCAUCAUUAAGUUGGGGACUCUAGUGAGACUGCCUACGCAAGUAGAGAGGAAGGUGGGGAUGACGUCAAAUCAUCACGGCCCUUACGCCUUGGGCCACACACGUAAUACAAUGGCCGGUACAGAGGGCAGCUACACAGCGAUGUGAUGCAAAUCUCGAAAGCCGGUCUCAGUUCGGAUUGGAGUCUGCAACUCGACUCUAUGAAGCUGGAAUCGCUAGUAAUCGCGCAUCAGCCAUGGCGCGGUGAAUACGUUCCCGGGCCUUGUACACACCGCCCGUCAAGCCAUGGAAGUCUGGGGUACCUGAAGUCGGUGACCGUAAAAGGAGCUGCCUAGGGUAAAACAGGUAACUAGGGCUAAGUCGUAACAAGGUAGCCGUACCGGAAGGUGCGGCUGGAACAUCUCAUUU